AGACCCGAAACCCGGUGAUCUAGCCAUGGGCAGGUUGAAGGUUGGGUAACACUAACUGGAGGACCGAACCGACUAAUGUUGAAAAAUUAGCGGAUGACCUGUGGCUGGGGGUGAAAGGCCAAUCAAACCGGGAGAUAGCUGGUUCUCCCCGAAAGCUAUUUAGGUAGCGCCUCGUGAAUUCAUCUCCGGGGGUAGAGCACUGUUUCGGCUAGGGGGCCAUCCCGGCUUACCAACCCGAUGCAAACUGCGAAUACCGGAGAAUGUUAUCACGGGAGACACACGGCGGGUGCUAACGUCCGUCGUGAAGAGGGAAACAACCCAGACCGCCAGCUAAGGUCCCAAAGUCAUGGUUAAGUGGGAAACGAUGUGGGAAGGCCCAGACAGCCAGGAUGUUGGCUUAGAAGCAGCCAUCAUUUAAAGAAAGCGUAAUAGCUCACUGGUCGAGUCGGCCUGCGCGGAAGAUGUAACGGGGCUAAACCAUGCACCGAAGCUGCGGCAGCGAACGUAUCACCCAAGACAACUUUACGGAGUUGACGAUUGACGGAGCGAAGCGACGUCAAAGCGUUCAUUAAAGUCGAGUUGGCUUAGGGAUACGUUCGUUGGGUAGGGGAGCGUUCUGUAAGCCUGUGAAGGUGUGUCGUGAGGCAUGCUGGAGGUAUCAGAAGUGCGAAUGCUGACAUAAGUAACGAUAAAGCGGGUGAAAAGCCCGCUCGCCGGAAGACCAAGGGUUCCUGUCCAACGUUAAUCGGGGCAGGGUGAGUCGACCCCUAAGGCGAGGCCGAAAGGCGUAGUCGAUGGGAAACGGGUUAAUAUUCCCGUACUUGGUGUUACUGCGAAGGGGGGACGGAGAAGGCUAUGUUGGCCGGGCGACGGUUGUCCCGGUUUAAGCGUGUAGGUGUGUGUUCCAGGUAAAUCCGGUUCACUUUAACACUGAGGCGUGACGACGAGGCACUACGGUGCUGAAGCAACAAAUGCCCUGCUUCCAGGAAAAGCCUCUAAGCAUCAGGUAACAUCAAAUCGUACCCCAAACCGACACAGGUGGUCAGGUAGAGAAUACCAAGGCGCUUGAGAGAACUCGGGUGAAGGAACUAGGCAAAAUGGUGCCGUAACUUCGGGAGAAGGCACGCUGACACGUAGGUGAAGUGAUUUACUCAUGGAGCUGAAGUCAGUCGAAGAUACCAGCUGGCUGCAACUGUUUAUUAAAAACACAGCACUGUGCAAA
rnacentral:rRNA from 1 species